AGCUCCAAUAGCGUAUACUAAAGUUGUUGCAGUUAAAAGCUCGUAGUUGGAUUUCUGGUUGCUUCGCCCGGUCCGCUUCGAAAGGAGUGUGCACCUGGGGGUGGCGGCCAUCCUCGGGGUGCUGCUCAUCUGGCAUUCAGUUGCCGUGUGAGUGGUCCUCGUCAUUUACUGUGAGUAAACUAGAGUGUUCAAAGCAGGCUUAAGCCGUUGAAUACAUUAGCAUGGAAUAAUAAGAUAGGACCUUGGUCUAUUUUGUUGGUUUAUUUUCCAAGGUAAUGAUUAAUAGGGAUAGUUGGGGGUAUUCGUAUUCAAUUGUCAGAGGUGAAAUUCUUGGAUUUAUGGAAGACGAACUACUGCGAAAGCAUUUACCAAGGAUGUUUUCA
rnacentral:rRNA from 1 species